GAGGGGGGAGGGUGAGCGAACAGCUGCGUGGUGUUUAGCUGCCGGCCGGGUUAAACCACGACACUGGGGUAAGCCUACAGCCGAGGGACUUGUCACCAGUAUUUAUAGGGAAGCCUUAUGACUUGCUUCAGCAACUGGGAUGUGCUUCCUGGUUCGGGGUGUUGUGCAUUUGCCAGGUACAGCUUGAAUGGCAGCUGUUUAGGAACUUGGCAAGCUUCCUGUCUCCUGAUGGCAGCAGUCUGAACCCUUGCUUCAGGGAAGGGAAUGUCUUGGCUGGUAAUUACUCUGGAGACAGUCUCGAGCUGUUGCUUUUGUGCCUUUCACAGAGACGAAGAGUGAUUUCCCUCGAUGCCCCUGGUGCCCCUCUGGAGUUGAGCCCUGCUCAUCCUGCGUGCUCCCAUCUCCAGAAGAGCGUGCUCCUUUCAGUGCCACAUGGAAGUGCAGUGUGCCCACACGGCGAGGUGACAACAAGCUGCUGAUGACACCUGCUUGACUCGGAGACACCUGGAAUCAGACCCCACAGCAGCCACAGGUGAAGGCAUCGGUCCCGUUGCUUAGUCCAGGCUGUGUUUUCUGAACUGACUUAACCCUGCUGAUUAUUCUCCGGCGCUGGAUGUAGCCUUGUUGCAUUUCUUGUGCCUGUAGGCUGUUUGCCUCUCUGUUCUCCCUGCUCUGAAACCUGAGAGAUCGCCUGCAAGUAUUUUUCCAUGAAUAAAUUGUAGGUUUGGGGGAAAAAAAAUAAGGUGAAAUGUAGUUGCUGUUGGGUUUCAUUCUGUGUCUGCGAAAAGGGAAAUGGGAGCAAAACACAUUUUUCAGGUCACAUACAUGUGGCUGUUGUUUGCUGGCAGUGCCCGGCAGCCCCUGUAAUGAUCAGCCUGGCUUCUCUGGCUUGCCAGUGCUCCUCGGGGGGCUCAGGCGCCCUUGCCAGGCUGAAACCAAUUAGGUGUAUGUGUGGCAUGUAAACAGUUUGGUACUGAUAUUUUUCUGUAAACUGGAACUAAAAUAAAUGCUUGAAUAUUGACAUGCUUCAGAAGAAGAAAUUUUCACUUCUUUAAACUUAUUUCACACUUAUUGGUCUGGAAGCUGUUAGCAAUGUAUCUUCUGUGAUUUAAAAUCCUGUAAGACUCUGUGUAUCUGAUGAGAUUUUUCUCCUUAUAAACACGGUGCAAAAGGGGAGCGUUUGCUUGCUGAAGGUCAGUUGGUUUACAAAGGUUACCCUGCUUGUCGGGGAUUCUUCUUGCACAUAUGCACUUGUGCUGGGCCAGAUGUGGGUGGCCCGCUCUGAUGAAAUGGCUGAGCAGGCUGCUCAGUAAACAGCUUGAGUGCUGUCUGAAAGCAUCUUGAAAAUAAGUCACGUAACGUUUCCUCCUGAGUACAGCCCAGUCUUUGCAAGUUCUGCUUCAGUUGUCUGCCUGCACUUAGCGUGCUGAAGCGUCACUGGGGAGAAAAACCCACCUUGCUUCAGCAGCACUGCGAGUGUCAGGGGUUUUAAUCCCUCCUGGCGAACUUUUCCCUUCACCUUGUGUUUCCACAGCCCACCCUCGCUUGAAAUGGGCAGCAUGAGCCAGGUUACCAGGAUAUUAGCGCAGGGCUGCCCCCGCAGCAGCCUUAGAGGACUUGUUCAUCCCUGUAAUUUUCCUUUCAGCAUUCCCCGUGCUCCCACAGAAGGCUGUGAGCAGCUGGCAGCUGUCUCUUCAGACACAGCAAGGCAUUGCUGUUUGCACACCCUGGGUGAUUGACGCGAUGAUUGUUUCAUGGUUUCAGGAUAUGCCCAAAUGCAGGUAACUUAGCACCUUUUGUAGCGAGGGAGGGGAGUCCCAAGAUGGUUCUUCGUGCGCCCGCUGCAAACACCUGGAGUUCCUGCUGCGUGCAGCGGGCUUGUCCCUCCCUGUUUAGAGACCUGCGGGCAGGGCUCGCAUGCACCCUGCGUGAUUCACGUUUGCUGAGCCGCCUGGAUUAGUUUGUGCCUCAGGUUCCUGCAGACACAGCGUGGGUUUGAAGCACUGAUCGCUGGAUCUGACACAGAUACAAAAUUUGGGCCCCCUGAAGGCCUCUUUAGCUUCCUUGGCUUACAGGGUGCUCUUCCACAGGGUUGCCGAGCCUUUCAGCAAGCUGGCCAGAUUUUGGGGGCUCUGUCUCCUGCGAGUCUCAUCGCCCAUUUGUCCCGCAGGUUGUUUGCUUUCCACAGGGAUAGGAGUACAAAGCUGGGGCUGAGAGGGAAGGCGCAGUGUGGCAGUAGUUAAGCCUUGUGAAAUGUAGCUGAGAAACAAAGCACACGCUGUUGGGUAAGAAAACAAACUGCAUUUGUAUCAGUUUAGUGGCACCAGUUGAAAAUUGUUUUAAAUGAAUACAGUGCAAGUUGAUUUUAGAUUAAUUUAAUCACAGUGAUUUAAAACCGAAGAUCAAAACGCUUUGUCAGACUGCCGUCAAGUCGGUACAAUUCAUCUGGACUCUUGUUUGCUUUGUCGUUACGGUAUUUGCAGCUGUUCUUGCUUUGCUUUAUUUUAAGAGCUUGCAUCUGCUCGGGGACGCGCUGCCCCUCGUUGGGGAUGGAUGCUGCCUUCCACCUUCCCUCCCGCUCCCAGCUGUGGUAGGAUGGCCUCAGAAGCAGGCGGCAGCUGGGGCUGGGUACAAGGAAGGUGCUGGGAGCCACCACGCUGGCUCAGGUGGCAGGGGAAACCCAGAAGCUGCCUUUGCUGUGUUCAGAGAGCUUGUGGGAGGCAGAGAGUUGUGCUGAGGCAGUGUGAUGCUCUGGGCCAGGGUUACACCACAGGCGCUUGGCAAACAUGGUUCAAAAAAUGUUAGAAUUAAAUACAUUGAAUCUGUUAGAAUUGAAAUUGAAAAAUUGAAAAUUAAAAUUGAAAAGCAAGUAACCUUAAAGCAGUAACCUUCCCUGUAGCUUCAGUAACCAAUCCUUCUGUGACUUAGUACAAGAACAGCAGGUUUAAUCAUUAAAGCAUAAGGAAGGCUUCCAGAUAAGGAAGAAAAGUUACCGUGACUUGGAAGGCACUGGGUUUUAGUACCAGCGGCUACAAAGCUUUACAAGAUUGUCUCUUUCAGAAGCACAUGGGUAGAAUAUCGGUUUGCUUGUGGGAAACUUCAGUUCUUUGUACAACUGAAAGGACAAAUUCUUUACUAGUUCUGUCAUAUGUUUUCCAUCUUGUAUUUCUCAUGUUAUGAUUCAGACAAAAGUAUUUUUCAAAGGGUAAAAAGUCAGCAAUUAAUAUUUGACAAACCACGACUCAAAUCCAUUAAGAAUCACACAUUAAAUGAGAAGUACCACUCUAGACUGUUGUUUUUAUUACUGAGAAAUGUUUUGAGUCGUUUUCUAGUGUUGCCUUAGCCCUGAAGUAAGUUGAAAGAAUCUGUGAGACCGCUCUCAGUUUGAGACUGAGAAAUAUUGCUGCACUUCCAGAAAUCGAGAGGGCUCUAAUUGGCAGAAGGAGAAAAUGCCAGAUGUGUUUCCCAACUCCUGUUGCUCUGCUCUAUUUCUUAGUAACAUACCUCAGUGCUCUGAAUGAGAGGGCAAUUGUCUUUUGCAUUGACAGCACGCAGUUGGUAGCAUUUUACUGAGUCACUUUAGAUCCCCUACAUGUAGAAUCAUAUUUGCCAUGUUCCUUGACUUAUGUUUGCUACGACAAAAAUGAGAGUAGACAGUUUUUUUUAAACUGGGCAAGUUGCUGCAAGACAAGCCCGACUGUACAUGUAACGCAGAGAUGUCUGAAGUGGCUGACACGAUCUUUGCAAGAUAUUGAUCAGGAGCUGGAACAUCUGCAGCUGCAGUAGUGUAAUUGUAUAAAGCAUCGUUUGUCUCUUACGCUGUAGGUCAUCUUGCAUGAUGCUGAAGUUGAUGCAGCUUAUGUUAGCAGUAUUAGUCACUAGUGGAAUUCGAUGUCGAGGUAUUUUGGAUACUGGAUUCCCUGCCAUGCCAACUUCUGUCCAUGUAAUGGAAAUAGGGUUAAAUAUUUCCUUUAUUAAAGGACAGCUGCCUCGUUGUCUGUGUUGAAAAACAAACCUGGGGGUACUGUGCUUGUGCUGGACAGUGCAAUUUGUUUACUUCAAAACCGUGUUCAAUUUUAAAAUGAAAAUUCGGUAGGUAGGAUGCUAAAUGCCACUUGUCCAUUAUUUAAAUGGACUUAAACCUCUGAGCUGAUUUGGUCAAGUUAGCUAAAUUUUCUUCAGUUGUAUGUGUACAGCUAAAAAUACUAUAUUGUACAGUUAAGGGGGGAAAAUGUUGCAUUUCUUCUCAUGAAGAUGAAGUUACUCAAGUGAUUAGAAAAACAAAUUAAAAUAUUUUACCUCUAUUUAGAUAAAAAUGUUUUAGCUCAUUUCUACAGCAGGCACUUAGUUCAAAGCCAGUAGACCACACCACAUCUUCAUUCAUUUCCUCAAGUGGUUACCUGUGGGUAGAUCUGAAAACCAGAUAUGAGAAAUAUAUUUUCUGAAGGUGUCUUCUAAUAA